AUUAUUACUGUACAAGCUAAUAUCACUACAAUAUUACAAAGUGAUGUGUCUAUAAUAUUAAUGGUUUGUGGUGUAUCGCAGGUGUGGGUUGAUGGGAUUCCUGCACACAGCCGUACAUGUGUGGGGCAGAUUUGAGGUAAUGUUUCCUUGCUCUUUUGUGAUUCUUUGCUCAAAUUUUUUCCUCUCACCGGGGUCUCAGAUGUUCUUUACAGAGCAUAUUUCAGUGGUCUUAUGACAAAAGGGGGUUUGUGGGGAUCAGAGUGUAUUCCCACCAUCUCUAUGCAAGCCUGGGCCACAUUCACUGUGGACAUUAGCAUUUCAAGGAGUCUCUAUUAGUGAUGGCAAGAAAAGCUUCUCUCUGUGGGGGGAGAUCCAUUUUGUCCUCUUUUCCAACAUCUGUUCUAACCUACAGGGCCAGAAGGGGAACUAGAUAAUGCCAAAGAGGCUUUUGAUUUACAGUAAUGACACCACUGACCAAGUUUUUGCUGAGAGGAGGGAGGUGGGCAAGAAAAUAAAAGACAAAAACAAUUUUGUGCUAUCUGUAAUGGGACAAUAUUAAUUUCUCUCAGGAAAGCAUGAGAGGUGCAUUUCCCCCCAACUGCAACCCUCAAAUAUAUUCAAUGUAAAGUUUUCAAAAUAAAUAAAACUCAUUUAGAACCCUUUAAAGCUGUACAUAUCUGGACAGGUUUGACAUAAGAACAGGACAAACAGAUAUAAGGAGAGAGAGACAGUUGACAAGAGUGUAGGGCUUGAUCCUCGGCCCAUCUGCCCUCUCCUUGCAGUCUGCCGCUCAGGCUGGACUGAACUGGAUGGCAGGAGGUCCGCUACCCUCACAGACGCUGCGGGAAUCCCAGGAGCUCAGCCAUUACACACAGCCUGAGCGGCCCACUGUCAAAACUCCUAGCUCCACGUGCCACUGACCGGACUAACAGUGAUUCUAAGAAGAAACAUGUGACCUGUCCAUGCCAGGCCAGGUGCCAUCUUAUCUAACCAUGGCACGGCACUGCAAUUAUAUCCCCCUGUGUGGUCCAGACGCAAACCCUCCGAUUGUCCUGCGGUAUACUGUUAACAGCUGGGCUUGAGAGAACAGCAUCACUUUUAAUGAUUAUUUUAGGUACUAUUCUAGAGCUAGAACACAUAAGAUGUGUUUGUGAGAUAUUAUAUGUAUGUUUAGAAAAAUUACAGCCAGCAGGAUCUCAAUUCUAACCAGAUGAAUAGGAAAAGUAGUACCCCGCACCUCUAGCCUCCACAAUUUGCCUGAGAGACUAUAAAUGUAAUACAACUUACUAUUUACCAAUUAAAGCAUAAUACACACUUUACAAAAAAAAAAAAAAAAAAAGUCACGUGCUGUAACCAUCAAGUACAAAGUACAAACAUAUUUUCCUUACACUUUGAAUACCUGUGAGUGUACACAGCCUAAAAAUUACUUUUUUUUAAAUAUAUGUA
ensembl:lncRNA